rnacentral:rRNA from 1 species
AACGAACGCUGGCGGCGUGCUUAACACAUGCAAGUCGAACGGUGAUGCUCCAGCUUGCUGGAGUGGAUCAGUGGCGAACGGGUGAGUAACACGUGAGCAACCUGCCCCAGACUCUGGAAUAAGCGCUGGAAACGGCGUCUAAUACUGGAUACGAAACUGGCCCGCAUGGGCAUGGUUUGGAAAGUUUUUCGGUUUGGGAUGGGCUCGCGGCCUAUCAGCUUGUUGGUGAGGUAAUGGCUCACCAAGGCGACGACGGGUAGCCGGCCUGAGAGGGCGACCGGCCACACUGGGACUGAGACACGGCCCAGACUCCUACGGGAGGCAGCAGUGGGGAAUAUUGCACAAUGGGCGAAAGCCUGAUGCAGCGACGCCGCGUGAGGGAUGACGGCCUUCGGGUUGUAAACCUCUUUCAGCAGGGAAGAAGCGAAAGUGACGGUACCUGCAGAAGAAGCACCGGCUAACUACGUG